rnacentral:rRNA from 1 species
GACGAACGCUGGCGGCGUGCUUAACACAUGCAAGUCGAACGCUGAAGCUCAGCUUUUGUUGGGUGGAUGAGUGGCGAACGGGUGAGUAACACGUGAGUAACCUGCCUCCUUCUUUGGGAUAACGCCCGGAAACGGGUGCUAAUACUGGAUAUUCACUGGUCUUCGCAUGGGGGUUGGUGGAAAGGGUUUUUCUGGUGGGGGAUGGGCUCGCGGCCUAUCAGCUUGUUGGUGGGGUGAUGGCCUACCAAGGCUUUGACGGGUAGCCGGCCUGAGAGGGUGACCGGUCACAUUGGGACUGAGAUACGGCCCAGACUACUACGGGAGGCAGCAGUGGGGAAUAUUGCACAAUGGGCGCAAGCCUGAUGCAGCGACGCCGCGUGAGGGAUGGGGGCCUUCGGGUUGUGAACCUCUUUCGCUCAUGGUCAAGCCGCAACAAUGGUUGUGGUGAGGGUAGUGGGUAAAGAAGCGCCGGCUAACUACGUG